UGGGUUUGACAUGCACCGGACGCGGCCAGAGAUGGUCGUUCCCUUGUGGCUGGUGUGCAGGUGGUGCAUGGCUGUCGUCAGCUCGUGUCGUGAGAUGUUGGGUUAAGUCCCGCAACGAGCGCAACCCUUGUUCCAUGUUGCCAGCGGUUCGGCCGGGGACUCAUGGGAGACUGCCGGGGUCAACUCGGAGGAAGGUGGGGAUGACGUCAGUGCUUGCCU
rnacentral:misc_RNA from 1 species